rnacentral:lncRNA from 1 species
AAGGGCCAAGUGAGCUUUUCUCAUCACUUGGCGUCCGUCGUCCGUCGUCGUCGUCCGUCGUUAACUUUUACAAAAAUCUUCUCCUCUGAAACUACUGGACCAAAUUAAACCAAACUUGGCCACAAUCAUCAUUGGGGUAUCUAGUUUAAAAAUUGUGUCCGGUGACCCGCCCAACCAACCAAGAUGGCCGCCAUGGCUAAAAAUAGAACAUAGGGGUAAAAUGCAGUUUUUGGCUUAUAACUCAAAAACCAAAGCAUUUAGAGCAAAUCUGACAUGGGGUAAAAUUGUUUAUCAGGUCAAGAUCUAUCUGCCCUGACAUUUUCAGAUGAAUCGGAC